UGACAAAAACUUUUUUGUGAAAGAUGUCUCAGAAAUUCCUGAGUUAAAUCAGGUACCAUCCUGCUUGUGGGCACAACACAAGUAUGAUGUAGGAUUAAUCAAAGAUGCUGAGCCUCACACCAAAAUCUUCAUAGAGGCCGUGUCAGAAUCAAUAUCCUUUGAAGAAGGAAGCUGUUGAAGGUAUUAAACCGGUGUUUGAUUCUCUUUUGAAAGCAGGGGUGAUUAUUAUUAUUAUGUGCAAGAUCUCCAGUCCGGACACCUAUUUUCCCCAUACGAAAACUCUGAGAAGCCGGAGAGCCACAACAUUGGAGAUUUGUGCAAGACUUGCAGGCGCAUCGCAAUGGAUCCUGACAGCCAUUAUUGGAGGCAUCUUUUGAAGCGGCAGACGGUGAACCUCACGAUUGUGUGGCAGUGAUAACAGAGACUUGCUCCCCCAGACCAGAUCUGCAGGAAACACCAUUGAUCAAUCCAGAGCUGGAGCUGUUUGUUGAUGGUUCAGCAUCACGAGAUCCAGCAACUGCCUCCCGUGUUUCUCCAGCCUCCUGUGUUUCUCCAGUCUCCAGUGUUUCUCCAGUCCGUCUCCAGUGAUCUCCCUGCUUGCCUCCAGUGACCUCCCUGCCUCCAGUGAUCUCCCUCCUACAGACGAUCCCUCUCUCCAUACCCACCAUAUUCUGGCUUUCAUUCAAUAAAGAACAUUGUGGUCCAUCUCUCGGUGUCCCCUGCCUGUUCUGUAACACGUACAUUUCAAACUAUUUCAAAAAUAAAUACAACCCAACUUCAAUCAGUGUCAUCCUAUUUUAUACAUAAAACACAAAUAACUGUCAAACUUUAAUAAAAGUCAAAACAUCAAUAAAUAAAUAGAACCUAUCUUGAAUAAAUAUCACAAUUUUACAAAAAUACAA